rnacentral:lncRNA from 1 species
UUUAAUUGCAGGUUUGAUUUCUCUGAACAAUGGUUUUUGUUUUUCCCCUAAUUUGAUAAAAUAUAAAGAAAAAGAAAGUAGGGUUGGUAUCUAAUAUAGACGACAGUAUCUUAUUGUUUUACGUCGUGUGAAUGUUAAUACCACGACGUCAUAUUAAAAUACCGUCAUCUAUAUAAGAUUCCAAAACUUUCUUUCUUGGCCUUGUAUUUUA